rnacentral:rRNA from 1 species
AUGUCACACUCUUUCUCCAGCUCCGUUUCCUCAUGCGCCAACGAGCUGCUGAACGAACUCCACGACCAUCUGGGCUUCAGGACGCUCAGGCCAGAGCUCGCGCACCAACUGUUCGAUGAAAUGCUACGCCAACCAGUCCCAGUAUCAGUACGUGCACUCAACGACUUAUUUGUUGCCCUUGCGCGUGCGCCGCCCUCCACCAUCUGCACCGACGGACCUGCCCUCGCCAUUGAUCUCUUCAACCGCAUGGCCCAAGCAGGCCGUCGCCAGGUGAUAGCACCCACCAUUAUCACCUACAACAUACUAAUUGACUGCUGCCACCGAGCAUGCCGCCCGGACCUAGGGCAUGCCUUCUUCGGUCGCCUCCUCAAGACAGGCAUCACAAUGAGCGUCAUUACCUACAACAGCCUAUUCAUGUGCCUCUGUGACAUGAGGCGAACAAAGGAGGCUCUGAACAUGCUGCUCCAUAGGAUGCCCGAUGACUUGCCUAAUGUCAUCUCCUACUCAGUGAUUCUCAAGAGUUUCAGCGACAGUGGGAGGAGCCAGCUUGCGCUUGACCUGCUCCAAAUGAUGGCCAAAAAAGGUGCUGACCACUCCCCCGACGUGAUGUCAUACAACAUAGUAAUUGAUGGCUUUUUUAAAGAGGGUGAAGUAAGCAAAGCAUGCGAUCUAUUCCAAGAAAUGAUACGACAGGGGAUUGUGCCUACUAAGGUGACAUAUAUCUCCAUUAUCAAUGCGCUGUGCAAAGCAAGAGCAAUGGACAAGGUAGAGGUGGUUCUUCGAUCAAUGGUUCAUAAUGGUGUCCAACCAGAAGCUGUGACAUAUAGUAGCAUGAUCCAAGGAUAUUCAACUUUGGGCCAGUUGAAAGAAGUUGCUAGGUUGUUGCAAGUAAUGAGAAGCCAAUGUUGUAUGCCAAAUGUUGUUACUUGCAGCUCAGUCAUGGAUUACCUUUGCAAGCAUGGAAGAAUCAAAGAAGCCGAGGAAAUAUUUUAUUCCAUGGCCGUGAAUGGACGAAAACCUAAUGUCAUCUCAUACUCUAUUAUGCUCCAUGGGUACGCUAUAGAAGGAACCCUUAUUAAAAUGAUUGAUCUCUGUGAGCUGAUGGCAAGAGAUGGAGUUGUACCCGACCUCCGUUGUUUCAACAUACUGAUUAAUGCAUAUGCUAAGUAUGGCAUGAUGGAUGUGGCCAUGCUUUUCUUUGAAGACAUGUAG